rnacentral:rRNA from 1 species
GCGUAAAGCGCACGCAGGGCGGUCUGUUAAGUCAGAUGUGAAAUCCCCGGGCUUAACCUGGGAACUGCAUUUGAAACUGGCAGGCUUGAGUCUCGUAGAGGGGGGUAGAAUUCCAGGUGUAGCGGUGAAAUGCGUAGAGAUCUGGAGGAAUACCGGUGGCGAAGGCGGCCCCCUGGACGAAGACUGACGCUCAGGUGCGAAAGCGUGGGGAGCAAACAGGAUUAGAUACCCUGGUAGUCCACGCCGUAAACGAUGUCGACUUGGAGGUUGUGCCCUUGAGGCGUGGCUUCCGGAGCUAACGCGUUAAGUCGACCGCCUGGGGAGUACGGCCGCAAGGUUAAAACUCAAAUGAAUUGACGGGGGCCCGCACAAGCGGUGGAGCAUGUGGUUUAAUUCGAUGCAACGCGAAGAACCUUACCUGGCCUUGACAUCCAGAGAACUUAGCAGAGAUGCUUUGGUGCCUUCGGGAACUCUGAGACAGGUGCUGCAUGGCUGUCGUCAGCUCGUGUUGUGAAAUGUUGGGUUAAGUCCCGCAACGAGCGCAACCCUUAUCCUUUGUUGCCAGCGGUUCGGCCGGGAACUCAAAGGAGACUGCCGGUGAUAAACCGGAGGAAGGUGGGGAUGACGUCAAGUCAUCAUGGCCUUUACGGGCAGGGCUACACACGUGCUACAAUGGCGCAUACAA